rnacentral:rRNA from 1 species
UGGGGAAUCUUGCACAAUGGGGGAAACCCUGAUGCAGCGACGCCGCGUGAACGAUGAAGCCCUUCGGGGUGUAAAGUCCUUUCGGCAGGAACGAUAAUGACGGUACCUGAAGAAGAAGCUGCGGCUAACUACGUGCCAGCAGCCGCGGUAAUACGUAGGCAGCAAACGUUGUUCGGAGUUACUGGGCGUAAAGAGUACGUAGGCGGUUUGCCAAGUUUGGUGUGAAAUCUCCUGGCUUAACUGGGAGGGUGCGCCGAAUACUGGCAGACUUGAGUAUUGGAGAGGAAAGCGGAAUUCCUGGUGUAGCGGUGAAAUGCGUAGAUAUCAGGAGGAACACCGGUGGUGUAGACGGCUUUCUGGACAAUCACUGACGCUGAGGUACGAAAGCGUGGGUAGCAAACAGGAUUAGAUACCCACGUAGUCCCUGAGCGGGCUGGCAAGGCGCAU